UAAUACGAACCGUCCAAACGUUAUUCGGAAUUACUGGGCUUAAAGGGUUUGUAGGCGGCCUUGUAAGUGGGGUGUGAAAUCCCUCGGCUCAACCGAGGAAUAGCGCUCCAAACUACAUGGCUUGAGGGAGACAGGGGUAAGCGGAACUGAUGGUGGAGCGGUGAAAUGCGUUGAUAUCAUCAGGAACACCGGUGGCGAAAGCGGCUUACUGGGUCUCUUCUGACGCUGAGAAACGAAAGCUAGGGUAGCGAACGGGAUUAGAUACCCCGGUAGUCCUAGCUGUAAACGAUGAGCACUUGGUUGGGGAUCCUCCCAUAGGUUCUCGACCGUAGCGAAAGUGUUAAGUGCUCCGCCUGGGGAGUAUGGUCGCAAGGCUG
rnacentral:rRNA from 1 species